rnacentral:rRNA from 1 species
GACGAACGCUGGCGGCGUGCUUAACACAUGCAAGUCGAACGGAAAGGCCCUUCGGGGUACUCGAGUGGCGAACGGGUGAGUAACACGUGGGUGAUCUGCCCUGCACUUUGGGAUAAGCCUGGGAAACUGGGUCUAAUACCGAAUAUGAUCAUCGGCUUCAUGGUCGGUGGUGGAAAGCUUUUGCGGUGUGGGAUGGGCCCGCGGCCUAUCAGCUUGUUGGUGGGGUAAUGGCAUACCAAGGCGACGGCGGGUAGCCGGCCUGAGAGGGUGACCGGCCAACCUGGGACUGAGAUACGGCCCAGACUCCUACGGGAGGCAGCAGUGGGGAAUAUUGCACAAUGGGCGCAAGCCUGAUUCAGAGACGCCGCGUGAGGGAUGACGGCCUUCGGGUUGUAAACCUCUUUCAGCACAGACGAAGCGCAAGUGACGGUAUGUGCAGAAGAAGGACCGGCCAACUACGUGCCAGCCGCCGCCGUAAGAC